UGGGGCGUCGCAUAGCGGCAAUUGCAGGAGACUGUAAAUCUCCCGUCCUUAGACUUCAUCGGUUCGAGUCCGGUCGCCCCAACAA
rnacentral:tRNA from 3 species